rnacentral:rRNA from 1 species
GACGAACGCUGGCGGCGUGCCUAAUACAUGCAAGUUGAGCGCUGAAGGUUGGUACUUGUACCGACUGGAUGAGCAGCGAACGGGUGAGUAACGCGUGGGGAAUCUGCCUUUGAGCGGGGGACAACAUUUGGAAACGAAUGCUAAUACCGCAUAAAAACUUUAAACACAAGUUUUAAGUUUGAAAGAUGCAAUUGCAUCACUCAAAGAUGAUCCCGCGUUGUAUUAGCUAGUUGGUGAGGUAAAGGCUCACCAAGGCGAUGAUACAUAGCCGACCUGAGAGGGUGAUAGGCCACAUUGGGAAUGAGACACGGCCCAAACGCCUACGGGAGGCAGCAGUAGGGAAUCUUCGGCAAUGGACGAAAGUCUGACCGAGCAACGCCGCGUGAGUGAAGAAGGUUUUCGGAUCGUAAAACUCUGUUGGUAGAGAAGAACGUUGGUGAGAGUGGAAAGCUCAUCAAGUGACGGUAACUACCCAGAAAGGGACGGCUAACUACGUG